rnacentral:rRNA from 1 species
GAUGAACGCUGGCGGCGUGCCUAAUACAUGCAAGUCGAGCGAACGGACGAGAAGCUUGCUUCUCUGAUGUUAGCGGCGGACGGGUGAGUAACACGUGGAUAACCUACCUAUAAGACUGGGAUAACUUCGGGAAACCGGAGCUAAUACCGGAUAAUAUUUUGAACCGCAUGGUUCAAAAGUGAAAGACGGUCUUGCUGUCACUUAUAGAUGGAUCCGCGCUGCAUUAGCUAGUUGGUAAGGUAACGGCUUACCAAGGCAACGAUGCAUAGCCGACCUGAGAGGGUGAUCGGCCACACUAGAACGGAGACACGGUCCAGACUCCUACGGGAGGCAGCAGUAGGGAAUCUUCCGCAAUGGGCGAAAGCCUGACGGAGCAACGCCGCGUGAGUGAUGAAGGUCUUCGGAUCGUAAAACUCUGUUAUUAGGGAAGAACAUAUGUGUAAGUAACUGUGCACAUCUUGACGGUACCUAAUCAGAAAGCCACGGCUAACUACGUG